rnacentral:rRNA from 1 species
UACGGGGGGGAGCAAGCGUUGUUCGGAUUUACUGGGCGUAAAGGGCGCGUAGGCGGCCAGCGCAAGUCAGUUGUGAAAUCUCCGAGCUUAACUCGGAAAGGUCAACUGAUACUGCGCGGCUAGAGUGCAGAAGAGGCAACUGGAAUUCUCGGUGUAGCGGUGAAAUGCGUAGAUAUCGAGAGGAACACCUGCGGCGAAGGCGGGUUGCUGGGACGGUACUGACGCUAAGGCGCGAAAGCGUGGGGAGCGAACAGG